rnacentral:rRNA from 1 species
AGCAGCCGCGGUAAUUCCAGCUCCAAUAGCGUAUAUUAAAGUUGUUGCAGUUAAAAAGCUCGUAGUUGAAUUUCGGGAUUAGUACGUUGGUCGUGCCUUAGGUACGUACUGGUGUUACUGGUUCCUACCUUCUGACGAACCAUCAUGUCAUUAAUUUGGUGUGGCGGGGAAUCAGGACUGUUACUUUGAAAAAAUUAGAGUGUUUAAAGCAGGCUCGCGCUUGAAUACAUUAGCAUGGAAUAAUGAAAUAGGACGUUGACCCUAUUUUGUUGGUUUCUAGGAUUGACGUAAUGAUUAAUAGGGAUAGUUGGGGGCAUUAGUAUUCAAUUGUCAGAGGUGAAAUUCUUGGAUUUAUUGAAGACUAACUACUGCGAAAGCAUUUGCCAAGGAUGUUUUCAUUAAUCAAGAACGAAAGUUAGGGGAUCGAAGACGAUCAGAUACCGUCGUAGUCUUAACCAUAAACUAUGCCGACUAGGGAUCGGAUGAUGUUAAUUUUUUAAUGACUCA